UUGUUGAAAACGCGUUUGGUAUUUUGUGUCAACCCAUUCGUAUUUUUCACCGAAAACUGAAAGCCAAACCGAAGGACAGGGACAAUAUUGUUGCUGCGGAAAUUCACAGAAAGUACUGUAUCUGCUUUGCGCAUACGACAUCAAGGAGGCCAAGCCAGGAGAGAAGCUGUCAGAAUAAGGGACGUAUUCACGACUUAUUUUAAUUCGGAGGCUGGGCCCGUGGAUUGGCAGCUGAAUAAGAUAUAAUUAAGGUGCAUAAUAUGCUAAAAGACAAGUAGAGAAAAAUAAAUUGAUUGGGUCUAUACGUAUU